rnacentral:rRNA from 1 species
UUAAGCGACUAAGCGUACACGGUGGAUGCCCUGGCAGUCAGAGGCGAUGAAGGACGUGCUAAUCUGCGAUAAGCGUCGGUAAGGUGAUAUGAACCGUUAUAACCGGCGAUUUCCGAAUGGGGAAACCCAGUGUGAUUCGUCACACUAUCAUUACGUGAAUACAUAGCGUAAUGAAGCGAACCGGGGGAACUGAAACAUCUAAGUACCCCGAGGAAAAGAAAUCAACCGAGAUUCCCCCAGUAGCGGCGAGCGAACGGGGAGCAGCCCAGAGUCUGAAUCAGCAUGUGUGGUAGUGGAACGGUCUGGAAAGUCCGACGGUACAGGGUGAUAGUCCCGUACACAAAAGUGCAUGUGUUGUGAACUCGAAGAGUAGGGCGGGACACGUGGUAUCCUGUCUGAAUAUGGGGGGACCAUCCUCCAAGGCUAAAUACUCCUGACUGACCGAUAGUGAACCAGUACCGUGAGGGAAAGGCGAAAAGAACCCCGGCGAGGGGAGUGAAAAAGAACCUGAAACCGUGUACGUACAAGCAGUGGGAGCCUCUUUAUGGGGUGACUGCGUACCUUUUGUAUAAUGGGUCAGCGACUUAUAUUCUGUAGCAAGGUUAACCGAAUAGGGGAGCCGAAGGGAAACCGAGUCUUAACUGGGCGUUAAGUUGCAGGGUAUAGACCCGAAACCCGGUGAUCUAGCCAUGGGCAGGUUGAAGGUUGGGUAACACUAACUGGAGGACCGAACCGACUAAUGUUGAAAAAUUAGCGGAUGACUUGUGGCUGGGGGUGAAAGGCCAAUCAAACCGGGAGAUAGCUGGUUCUCCCCGAAAGCUAUUUAGGUAGCGCCUCGUGAAUUCAUCUUCGGGGGUAGAGCACUGUUUCGGCUAGGGGGUCAUCCCGACUUACCAACCCGAUGCAAACUGCGAAUACCGAAGAAUGUUAUCACGGGAGACACACGGCGGGUGCUAACGUCCGUCGUGAAGAGGGAAACAACCCAGACCGCCAGCUAAGGUCCCAAAGUCAUGGUUAAGUGGGAAACGAUGUGGGAAGGCACAGACAGCCAGGAUGUUGGCUUAGAAGCAGCCAUCAUUUAAAGAAAGCGUAAUAGCUCACUGGUCGAGUCGGCCUGCGCGGAAGAUGUAACGGGGCUAAACCAUGCACCGAAGCUGCGGCAGCGACACUAUGUGUUGUUGGGUAGGGGAGCGUUCUGUAAGCCGUUGAAGGUGGCCUGUGAGGGUUGCUGGAGGUAUCAGAAGUGCGAAUGCUGACAUAAGUAACGAUAAUGCGGGUGAAAAACCCGCACGCCGGAAGACCAAGGGUUCCUGUCCAACGUUAAUCGGGGCAGGGUGAGUCGACCCCUAAGGCGAGGCCGAAAGGCGUAGUCGAUGGGAAACAGGUUAAUAUUCCUGUACUUGGUGUUACUGCGAAGGGGGGACGGAGAAGGCUAUGUUAGCCGGGCGACGGUUGUCCCGGUUUAAGCAUGUAGGCGGAGAUUCCAGGUAAAUCCGGAGUCUUGUUAACGCUGAGGUGUGAUGACGAGGCACUACGGUGCUGAAGUAACAAAUGCCCUGCUUCCAGGAAAAGCCUCUAAGCAUCAGGUAACACAAAAUCGUACCCCAAACCGACACAGGUGGUCAGGUAGAGAAUACCAAGGCGCUUGAGAGAACUCGGGUGAAGGAACUAGGCAAAAUGGUGCCGUAACUUCGGGAGAAGGCACGCUGAUAUGUAGGUGAAGUGAUUUACUCAUGGAGCUGAAAUCAGUCGAAGAUACCAGCUGGCUGCAACUGUUUAUUAAAAACACAGCACUGUGCAAACACGAAAGUGGACGUAUACGGUGUGACGCCUGCCCGGUGCCGGAAGGUUAAUUGAUGGGGUUAUCCGUAAGGAGAAGCUCUUGAUCGAAGCCCCGGUAAACGGCGGCCGUAACUAUAACGGUCCUAAGGUAGCGAAAUUCCUUGUCGGGU